GGUGAACGUUGGCGGUGCGUCUAAUACAUGCAAGUCGAGCGAGGCUUCGAGCCGAGCGGCAGCCGGCUGAGUAACACGUUGGUAACUACCUCAAACACAGGGAUAACUCCGAGAAAUCGGUGCUAAUACCGGAGGGUCUCGCAAGGGUAAAGUAUUUACGGUUUGAGAGGUGGCUGCGUCCUAUCAGGUAGUUGGCGAGGUAACGGCCCACUAAGGCUAUGACGGGUAACUGGGCUGAGAGGAUGACCAGUCAGAGGGAAACUGAGACACGGUUCCCACAUCUACGGAAGGCAGCAGUAAAGAAUCUUCCACAAUGGACGAAAGUCUGAUGGGGCGACGCCGCGUGCAGGAUGAAGGCCCUUGAGUCGUAAACUGCUUUUUUGGGGGAAAAAUUCCGAUUGUACCCUAAGAAUAAGCACCGGCAAAUCACGUG
rnacentral:rRNA from 1 species